ACUAAACAGCUAGCUCAACCAACCAAGUUAAGCCCACAACAUUGCAUAAUUUAACAUAAAAUAACCCUACCAAAUUAAACCAUUUGACCGCCUUAGUAAUUGGACGACAGAAAAGGACCUAAUGAAGCCAUAG
rnacentral:rRNA from 1 species